rnacentral:rRNA from 1 species
UACGUAGGGGGGCAAGCGUUGUCCGGAUUUAUUGGGCGUAAAGAGCGUGUAGGCGGCCUGGUAGGUCAGCUGUGAAAACUCGAGGCUCAACCUCGAGACGCCGGUUGAAACCAUCAGGCUAGAGUCCGGAAGAGGAGAGUGGAAUUCCUGGUGUAGCGGUGAAAUGCGCAGAUAUCAGGAAGAACACCCGUGGCGAAGGCGGCUCUCUGGGACGGUACUGACGCUGAGACGCGAAAGCGUGGGGAGCGAACAGG